GACGAACGCUGGCGGCGUGCUUAACACAUGCAAGUCGAACGGAAAGGCCCUGCUUUUGUGGGGUGCUCGAGUGGCGAACGGGUGAGUAACACGUGAGUAACCUGCCCUUGACUUUGGGAUAACUUCAGGAAACUGGGGCUAAUACCGGAUAGGAGCUCCUGCUGCAUGGUGGGGGUUGGAAAGUUUCGGCGGUUGGGGAUGGACUCGCGGCUUAUCAGCUUGUUGGUGGGGUAGUGGCUUACCAAGGCUUUGACGGGUAGCCGGCCUGAGAGGGUGACCGGCCACAUGGGGACUGAGAUACGGCCAGGACUCCUCCGGGAGGCAGCAGUGGGGAAUAUUGCACAAUGGGCGGAAGCCGGAUGCAGCAACGCCGCGGGCGGGAUGACGGCCUUCGGGUUGUAAACCGCUUUCGCCUGUGACGAGGCGUGAGUGACGGUAAUGGGUAAAGAAGCACCGGCUAACUACGUG
rnacentral:rRNA from 1 species